rnacentral:rRNA from 1 species
GCCCCGGUAAACGGCGGCCGUAACUAUAACGGUCCUAAGGUAGCGAAAUUCCUUGUCGGGUAAGUUCCGACCUGCACGAAUGGCGUAAUGAUGGCCAGGCUGUCUCCACCCGAGACUCAGUGAAAUUGAACUCGCUGUGAAGAUGCAGUGUACCCGCGGCAAGACGGAAAGACCCCGUGAACCUUUACUAUAGCUUGACACUGAACAUUGAGCCUUGAUGUGUAGGAUAGGUGGGAGGCUUUGAAGUGUGGACGCCAGUCUGCAUGGAGCCGACCUUGAAAUACCACCCUUUAAUGU